UACAGAGGCCUCGAGCGUUAGGCGGAAUCACUGGGCUUAAAGCGCGUGUAGGCGGACUCUUAAGUGUCUUGUGAAAUCCCACGGCUCAACCGUGGAACCGCUGGGCAUACUGGGAGUCUUGGGCCACUCAGGGGCAGCCGGAACAAGCGGUGGAGCGGUGAAAUGCGUAGAUAUCAGGAGGAACACCGGUGGCGAAGGCGGGUCUCUGGGCCGAUACUGACGCUGAGGAGCGAAAGCGUGGGGAGCAAACAGG
rnacentral:rRNA from 1 species